UUAACGCUUGCACCCUUCGUAUUACCGCGGCUGCUGGCACGAAGUUAGCCGGUGCUUAUUCUGUUGGUAACGUCAAAACAGCAAGGUAUUAACUUACUGCCCUUCCUCCCAACUUAAAGUGCUUUACAAUCCGAAGACCUUCUUCACACACGCGGCAUGGCUGGAUCAGGCUUUCGCCCAUUGUCCAAUAUUCCCCACUGCUGCCUCCCGUAGGAGUCUGGACCGUGUCUCAGUUCCAGUGUGACUGAUCAUCCUCUCAGACCAGUUACGGAUCGUCGCCUUGGUAGGCCUUUACCCCACCAACUAGCUAAUCCGACCUAGGCUCAUCUGAUAGCGUGAGGUCCGAAGAUCCCCCACUUUCUCCCUCAGGACGUAUGCGGUAUUAGCGCCCGUUUCCGGACGUUAUCCCCCACUACCAGGCAGAUUCCUAGGCAUUACUCACCCGUCCGCCGCUGAAUUCAGGAGCAAGCUCCCUUCAUCCGCUCGACUUGCAUGUGUUAGGCCUGCCGCCAGCGUUCAAUCUGAGCCAGGAUCAAACCCUG
rnacentral:rRNA from 1 species